GAUGAACGCUGGCGGCGUGCCUAAUACAUGCAAGUCGAGCGAACGGACGAGAAGCUUGCUUCUCUGAUGUUAGCGGCGGACGGGUGAGUAACACGUGGAUAACCUACCUAUAAGACUGGGAUAACUUCGGGAAACCGGAGCUAAUACCGGAUAAUAUUUUGAACCGCAUGGUUCAAAAGUGAAAGACGGUCUUGCUGUCACUUAUAGAUGGAUCCGCGCUGCAUUAGCUAGUUGGUAAGGUAACGGCUUACCAAGGCAACGAUGCAUAGCCGACCUGAGAGGGUGAUCGGCCACACUGUAACUGAGACACGGUCCAGACUCCUACGGGAGGCAGCAGUAGGGAAUCCUCCGCAAAGGGCGAAAGCCUGACGGAGCAACGCCGCGUGAGUGAUGAAGGUCUUCGGAUCGUAAAACUCUGUUAUUAGGGAAGAACAUAUGUGUAAGUAACUGUGCACAUCUUGACGGUACCUAAUCAGAAAGCCACGGCUAACUACGUG
rnacentral:rRNA from 1 species